UCCAUAUGAAGAUGUGAAUUGUAACCUCUAAGAGGAGAAUUUACGGUGGAAAUUUCUCCAAAAUAUUGACCUUCUGUCUUGACUGCCUGGAGAUGUUGUUCCAGAAAGGAUUGAAGGCAGGCAGAAAGCCACGGCUUCCUGUCGGGCUCCCCGGGGGCAAAUGCCUGGCGUGGACAAAGGAAGAUGAUGGCGUAAGGACUGCAAUGCGCAGGCGCCGAAUGCUUCCCACGCGCUGAAGAGCUUUCUGUGGAUUAUUCACUGAAGUCUCAGAGCAACUCUAUGAGGGAGAAAGCUUUGGGAUCAGGACUACCCCUGUCUGAUCAUGGUGACUUCAGUUUUAGAGAAGAACUGUGGUAACCUGCACCCGACCCAUUGGAGAGGACCUUCCUCUGGAGAAAACAGACGCAGGUUGAGUUUUCCGGAGACACCACCACCAGAAUCCCUCUCCUUGUCUUCCAAGUUGUCCCAGAACCAAGAGGCCUGGUGUUAUGGAUUGAAAUGUGUCGCCCAGAAAGUUAUAUUCAAGUCCCAGCUCCAGAACCUGUACGUGACCUCAUUUGGAGAUGGGGUAUUUGCAGUUGUUAUCAAGUUGAGGUCAUCCUGAAUUAGGGUGGGCUCUAAUCCAUAUGAUUGGGGUGUUCAUAGGAGGAAGAGAAAGGACCCAGACACAUAGGGAAGAAGGCUAUGUGAAGGGGAAGAAGACAUUGAGGUAAUGCUGCCACAGGCCAAGGAAUGCUUGGGCUACAGGAAGCUGGACAGCAUGAGGAAGGGUCCCCCCCACCGCCAGAGUCUUCAGAGGGAGCCUGGACUUGCUGACACCUUGACUUCGGACUUCUAGCCUCCAGAACUCUGAGAGAAUAAAUUUACGGUGUUUUAAGCCACCCAGUUGGUGGUAACUUGUUACGACAGGCCAAGAAACAAAUUCACCUGCAAAAGCUUGACUGGCUUUUACUUGCUGGCUGAUGAUUCUUUAGCUUAGGAUUUGGACCCUGUGAAGUUACAGAAAAUGUUCUUUAGACUGACAGGUGUCCUUUGCAGAUAAUUGCAAGGAGGUUGUGAUGUGUGGCACCGCUCAGGGUCGCACGGGGCGAAUGCAACUGAUGCUGGGUGUCACGUGGACCCAAGCUUGCCUGGGGCAGCCCUCACCACGACUGCUGGAACACCUGGUCCCCAAACCUGAGUCUUUCCCUGGGCCAAUAAUUCCAGGGCAUCUGUUCUGUGUACUUUUCUCUCAGACUCUUGGCAUAUAAAUGAACUGUUUAUGGCUUGUAAACUAAAUCUUGCUAGGGCAUCAGUGGCUCCCCGAGUCUCCCAUUACCUAUGAGAAGCUACAGAGUAUAAUGCAGAGAUCUCACUCCUCUCCCCUGCUGUACCAUGGCAGACAUCAGUAAGAGGUCACAACAUACUUCUCUGCUAAGCCUGUGAGAGUCCAGCACUCUAAUUGAACAGAGUUGGCACUUCAAUAUUUAUUCAUUUAUUCAGUAAAUGUUUACAGAGUGCCUAUUAGUGCCAAGCUUAGUGCUUGGAUAUACACUGGUCAGCAACAUAGUCUUGUAGCUUGGGAAUAAACUUUUGUGUCAUCCUGACCUAGUGAGAAGAUCACUUACCUGGAAUCAGAAAUCCUACUACUUGAACCAUGCACUUGACUGGUGUCAGUUUCCUCCUGUAUAAAAUGAGAAGGUUGAGCUAUAUUACUUCUGUGGUUCUUUCCAUCUAAGUUCAAAACUCUGCAUCUGAAGAGCAAACUGAAGACCCAGCAUCUCAACUAAUACCCAAAUCUCCAGUGGUUAGAACUCCAAGCAGAUAGGAGUUACAUGGGCAGAGAGAUGGGGAGACAUCUGGGGAUCGCAGAGCAGAGAGAUGGCAGAGACCUUUGAUCACACCCAGACAAGACAGCACCUUCACCACCUGGGAAUGAACCCUCUGCGUCAGUGGGCAGCCUCCUUUGUCCGUACUCAGAGAUGAAGGAUAGGCACAUGAGGGAGCUCCACGUACAAAAUGAGCUUGGGAACAAGUUAGUCAGUUUCAACAAAAUCAAUGGAGCACGUAGAACUGGAGAAACUAUGGCUUAGACAGCAUAUGUGGAAAAGACUUAGGCGCUGUGGGUAGUUGUCAGCUCAGUAUGAAGCCACUGGAAUCUUAAUUUGUGCCAAUAGAAACAGCAUUCAGGAUGAAGGAAACAAAGGUCAUUUGAUCUAUGCAACUUUGACUGCCCCUAGAAUACCAUAUUCAUUUCUGAAUCCCACAUUUUAAAAGAGAAGGGUGGGUAUGAGUUAAGAAUUAGGUAUUUGAUACUUAACAUCCACUAUUCAUUUUCAUCCUGACAACUCCAUAAUCUAAGACAAUUACCCCUCAUUUUACAGAUGGGGAAAUUGAAGUUACACCAUUCCCCAAGGUUCCACCCCAUUUGGUGGUGGAGCCAGGACUCCAGAGCCUGUGGUCUUUCUGUAGACAAAAGAGAAAGAUCACUUCCAGGCUAAAAGAAGGUGAGAAGGGAUGUCAGGCUUAAGCCUGGUCUUAAAGGAGGGAUAAAUUAGGAAAAAAGUGUGUGUGUGUGUGUGUGUGUGUGUGUGUGUGUGUGUGUGUAACAUGCCAGGGAGAAAAGAAAGUGAGUAGAGGCUUAGAACUAAGAAUCUGAGAGGUUUAUCUGGUGAGUGGAAGGUGAGAAGCACUCACAUUAUUCGUGCAGGGCAGAGGCAGGUAGAAAAGGGUGGGCAGUUUUUGGUCCAGAUUAUAGGAGGUUUUCAAUGCUAGGUUAAAGACUGUGGACUUUACCACUAUAAUGGGAGAUAGUAAAGAUUGAAUAGUGCUUAGGGAAUGUAAUGCUAAGGGGCAGGCUUUGGGAAGAUGAUCUGUUGGCCACAUCCAUGGUGGAUAGGUAGGGACAAAAGAGGCUAUGGUAAGCAGAA